GGGCCCGCACAAGCGGUGGAGCAUGUGGUUUAAUUCGAUGAUACGCGAGGAACCUUACCAGGGCUUAAAUGCAGAACGACAGACUGGGAAACCAGUCCUUCUUCGGACGAUCUGCAAGGUGCUGCAUGGUUGUCGUCAGCUCGUGCCGUGAGGUGUCGGGUUAAGUCCCAUAACGAGCGCAACCCCUAUCCUUAGUUGCCAGCGAGUAAUGUCGGGGACUCUAAGGAAACUGCCUGCGCAAGCAGUGAGGAAGGUGGGGAUGACGUCAAAUCAUCACGGCCCUUACAUCCUGGGCCACACACGUGCUACAAUGGUGGGGACAACAGGUUGCCAACCCGCGAGGGUGAGCC
rnacentral:rRNA from 1 species